rnacentral:lncRNA from 1 species
CAUCCAAGUGGGUGAUGUCAAAAUUAUUGUCAGAGACAAAAUUGGUUUCAGGGCUUUUACUCAUUAGAGAUGCUUGAUAAAGCUCAACCAAAUGUCUUCGUACACGGCAAAUUUUUUGCCCAGUGCCCUUUUCCACCGCAACGAUAAAAUAUAGUUUCUGAACUAUUUGCUUUUGGAUUCUCAUAAUUCCAUUUCCACUUUUGGUG